rnacentral:lncRNA from 1 species
UUCCAUUAAAGACCGAAGCCUUAAGUCAGCAAAAUCAUAAAAAUUUGUUUUUGAAAAUCAUGAUUAUGCCUAUCAGAAAUCAGGAUUAGAAAGUCCGCUGGAGCCUAAAUUAAGUCUCGGCCUUUCUUCUUUUCUGUUUUUCCAUCUUCCUGUAGCUAGCAUUAAAUAAUGCCACUGUCAGUUUUGCGAAAAAAUCGGAAAAAAACUAAUCUCU